rnacentral:rRNA from 1 species
AGCGUACACGGUGGAUGCCCUGGCAGUCAGAGGCGAUGAAGGACGUGCUAAUCUGCGAUAAGCGUCGGUAAGGUGAUAUGAACCGUUAUAACCGGCGAUUUCCGAAUGGGGAAACCCAGUGUGUUUCGACACACUAUCAUUAACUGAAUCCAUAGGUUAAUGAGGCGAACCGGGGGAACUGAAACAUCUAAGUACCCCGAGGAAAAGAAAUCAACCGAGAUUCCCCCAGUAGCGGCGAGCGAACGGGGAGCAGCCCAGAGCCUGAAUCAGUGUGUGUGUUAGUGGAAGCGUCUGGAAAGGCGCGCGAUACAGGGUGACAGCCCCGUACACAAAAAUGCACAUGCUGUGAGCUCGAUGAGUAGGGCGGGACACGUGGUAUCCUGUCUGAAUAUGGGGGGACCAUCCUCCAAGGCUAAAUACUCCUGACUGACCGAUAGUGAACCAGUACCGUGAGGGAAAGGCGAAAAGAACCCCGGCGAGGGGAGUGAAAAAGAACCUGAAACCGUGUACGUACAAGCAGUGGGAGCACGCUUAGGCGUGUGACUGCGUACCUUUUGUAUAAUGGGUCAGCGACUUAUAUUCUGUAGCAAGGUUAACCGAAUAGGGGAGCCGAAGGGAAACCGAGUCUUAACUGGGCGUUAAGUUGCAGGGUAUAGACCCGAAACCCGGUGAUCUAGCCAUGGGCAGGUUGAAGGUUGGGUAACACUAACUGGAGGACCGAACCGACUAAUGUUGAAAAAUUAGCGGAUGACUUGUGGCUGGGGGUGAAAGGCCAAUCAAACCGGGAGAUAGCUGGUUCUCCCCGAAAGCUAUUUAGGUAGCGCCUCGUGAAUUCAUCUCCGGGGGUAGAGCACUGUUUCGGCAAGGGGGUCAUCCCGACUUACCAACCCGAUGCAAACUGCGAAUACCGGAGAAUGUUAUCACGGGAGACACACGGCGGGUGCUAACGUCCGUCGUGAAGAGGGAAACAACCCAGACCGCCAGCUAAGGUCCCAAAGUCAUGGUUAAGUGGGAAACGAUGUGGGAAGGCCCAGACAGCCAGGAUGUUGGCUUAGAAGCAGCCAUCAUUUAAAGAAAGCGUAAUAGCUCACUGGUCGAGUCGGCCUGCGCGGAAGAUGUAACGGGGCUAAACCAUGCACCGAAGCUGCGGCAGCGACGCUGAUGCGUUGUUGGGUAGGGGAGCGUUCUGUAAGCCUGCGAAGGUGUGCUGUGAGGCAUGCUGGAGGUAUCAGAAGUGCGAAUGCUGACAUAAGUAACGAUAAAGCGGGUGAAAAGCCCGCUCGCCGGAAGACCAAGGGUUCCUGUCCAACGUUAAUCGGGGCAGGGUGAGUCGACCCCUAAGGCGAGGCCGAAAGGCGUAGUCGAUGGGAAACAGGUUAAUAUUCCUGUACUUGGUGUUACUGCGAAGGGGGGACGGAGAAGGCUAUGUUGGCCGGGCGACGGUUGUCCCGGUUUAAGCGUGUAGGCUGGUUUUCCAGGCAAAUCCGGAAAAUCAAGGCUGAGGCGUGAUGACGAGGCACUACGGUGCUGAAGCAACAAAUGCCCUGCUUCCAGGAAAAGCCUCUAAGCAUCAGGUAACAUCAAAUCGUACCCCAAACCGACACAGGUGGUCAGGUAGAGAAUACCAAGGCGCUUGAGAGAACUCGGGUGAAGGAACUAGGCAAAAUGGUGCCGUAACUUCGGGAGAAGGCACGCUGAUAUGUAGGUGAGGUCCCUCGCGGAUGGAGCUGAAAUCAGUCGAAGAUACCAGCUGGCUGCAACUGUUUAUUAAAAACACAGCACUGUGCAAACACGAAAGUGGACGUAUACGGUGUGACGCCUGCCCGGUGCCGGAAGGUUAAUUGAUGGGGUUAGCGCAAGCGAAGCUCUUGAUCGAAGCCCCGGUAAACGGCGGCCGUAACUAUAACGGUCCUAAGGUAGCGAAAUUCCUUGUCGGGUAAGUUCCGACCUGCACGAAUGGCGUAAUGAUGGCCAGGCUGUCUCCACCCGAGACUCAGUGAAAUUGAACUCGCUGUGAAGAUGCAGUGUACCCGCGGCAAGACGGAAAGACCCCGUGAACCUUUACUAUAGCUUGACACUGAACAUUGAGCCUUGAUGUGUAGGAUAGGUGGGAGGCUUAGAAGUGUGGACGCCAGUCUGCAUGGAGCCGACCUUGAAAUACCACCCUUUAAUGUUUGAUGUUCUAACGUUGACCCGUAAUCCGGGUUGCGGACAGUGUCUGGUGGGUAGUUUGACUGGGGCGGUCUCCUCCUAAAGAGUAACGGAGGAGCACGAAGGUUGGCUAAUCCUGGUCGGACAUCAGGAGGUUAGUGCAAUGGCAUAAGCCAGCUUGACUGCGAGCGUGACGGCGCGAGCAGGUGCGAAAGCAGGUCAUAGUGAUCCGGUGGUUCUGAAUGGAAGGGCCAUCGCUCAACGGAUAAAAGGUACUCCGGGGAUAACAGGCUGAUACCGCCCAAGAGUUCAUAUCGACGGCGGUGUUUGGCACCUCGAUGUCGGCUCAUCACAUCCUGGGGCUGAAGUAGGUCCCAAGGGUAUGGCUGUUCGCCAUUUAAAGUGGUACGCGAGCUGGGUUUAGAACGUCGUGAGACAGUUCGGUCCCUAUCUGCCGUGGGCGCUGGAGAACUGAGGGGGGCUGCUCCUAGUACGAGAGGACCGGAGUGGACGCAUCACUGGUGUUCGGGUUGUCAUGCCAAUGGCACUGCCCGGUAGCUAAAUGCGGAAGAGAUAAGUGCUGAAAGCAUCUAAGCACGAAACUUGCCCCGAGAUGAGUUCU